ACGCCCGUAGCUCAAUGGUAGAGCAGUCGCCUUAUACGCGAUUGGUUGGGGGUUCGAGUCCCUCCGGGCGUACAA
rnacentral:tRNA from 1 species